rnacentral:rRNA from 1 species
UACGGAGGGUGCAAGCGUUGUCCGGAUUUAUUGGGUUUGAAGGGUGCGUAGGCGGCCCGGUAAGUCAGUGGUGAAAGCCUCCAGCUCAACUGGAGAACUGCCAUUGAUACUGCCGGGCUUGAGUACAGACGAGGUUGGCGGAAUUGAUUGUGUAGCGGUGAAAUGCAUAGAUACAAUCAAGAACUCCGAUUGCGUAGGCAGCUAACUAGGCUGUAACUGACGCUGAGGCACGAAAGCGUGGGGAGCGAACAGG